UACAGAGACUGCAAGCGUUAUUCGGAUUCACUGGGCGUAAAGGGUGCGCAGGCGGCCGUGUGUGUGAGGCGUGAAAGCCUGGAGCUUAACUCCAGAAUUGCACCUCAAACUACACGGCUAGAGCAUUGGAGAGGGUAGCAGAAUUCACGGUGUAGCAGUGAAAUGCGUAGAUAUCGUGAGGAAUACCAGAGGCGAAGGCGGCUACCUGGACAAUUGCUGACGCUCAGGCACGAAAGCGUGGGGAGCAGAAGGG
rnacentral:rRNA from 1 species